rnacentral:misc_RNA from 1 species
AAGUCGUAACAAGGUUUCCGUAGGUGAACCUGCGGAAGGAUCAUUAUUGAAACUUGAAUCGUAGCAUUGAGAACUGUUGCUGACCUGUUAAAGGGUAUGUGCACGUUCGACGUGUUGCGUUCUAUUCAUCCACCUGUGCACCUUUUGUAGUACUUGAAUUUAACUUUCGCUCUCGGAUGCGGUUAAGGAAUGGGUUUGCUUUCCGAGUUUCCUUUGUCUAUCAAGUCUAUGUCCAUAUAAUCUCUUGUAUGUCUAGAAUGUCUUGUUUAUGGGACGCAAGUCCUUUAAAUCUUAUACAA